GCUGGGCAUGGUGGUGCAUGCCUGUAAUCCCAGCUACUCGGGAGGCUGAGGCAGGAGAAUUGCUUGAACCCAGGAGGCGGAGGUUGAGGUGAGCUGAGAUCGUGCCAUCGCACUCUAGCCUGGGUGACAGAGCGAGACUCAGUCUCAA
rnacentral:SRP_RNA from 1 species